GAUGAACGCUGGCGGCGUGCCUAAUACAUGCAAGUCGAGCGAACAGACGAGGAGCUUGCUCCUCUGACGUUAGCGGCGGACGGGUGAGUAACACGUGGAUAACCUACCUAUAAGACUGGGAUAACUUCGGGAAACCGGAGCUAAUACCGGAUAAUAUAUUGAACCGCAUGGUUCAAUAGUGAAAGACGGUUUUGCUGUCUCUUAUAGAUGGAUCCGCGCCGCAUUAGCUAGUUGGUAAGGUAACGGCUUACCAAGGCAACGAUGCGUAGCCGACCUGAGAGGGUGAUCGGCAACACUGGAACUGAGACACGGUCCAGACUCCUACGGGAGGCAGCAGUAGGGAAUCUUCCGCAAUGGGCGAAAGCCUGACGGAGCAACGCCGCGUGAGUGAUGAAGGUCUUCGGAUCGUAAAACUCUGUUAUUAGGGAAGAACAAAUGUGUAAGUAACUAUGCACGUCUUGACGGUACCUAAUCAGAAAGCCACGGCUAACUACGUG
rnacentral:rRNA from 1 species